rnacentral:lncRNA from 1 species
GUCUUUCGGGAAAUGCAGUUUUUAGCCUGGCGGAUAACUGAAAAGGAGUUUGCACAGGUGCCGGUGCAAUCUAAGAACCCAGGAAGCUGAGAUUCUGAGCCUGGCCUCAAGAAGAAAGAAAGCAGCUUGGGACAUCAGGCCCAUCGGGGCCUUGAAAGGGAAGAAAAAGCCCAGAUCAAGGGAUGAAGGAGGCCCUGCAGUCAACACUCUGGUGCCGGUACAAGCUGGAGCCAGGAGGGCAUCGGAAAUGGCUGGGUAGCUCCAUCUGACCCUAAGCUCCUGGGGAAGGGACCAGGGAUGGAGAGGAUAGUCAAGUGUCCUUUGGCAGCUCCGGUCUCCUCACGCUGAUCACAGAGUUGUGCUGAAGGAGAAGCAGGUUGGUGGAUGUGGGUGCUCUCUGAGAACAAUAAGAAAGUCCAUGUUCUCUACGACAGCCUCAGAUUCACCUCUUCUAAUCUGUCAUGGAGGAUCCAGAGACAUCAGGCCCAAGCUAGAUGUGGUUACAAUACCCACUGUCUCAAGAAGAAAACAAAAACAAAGCCUUCGGGGCUAGAAGCAGCAGGAGCUUCGAAUGUACAUGAUGACUGCUAGACCAGCCCGAACUCCAUAGAACAAAGCCAGGCAGUGGUGGCGCAUGCCUUUAUAAUCCUAGCACUCUGGAGGCAAAGGAGGCAGAGUUUCGACCAGUUUCAAGGCCAGCCUGGUCGAAAAAUCAAAUCAAUACCACCUGAAAAGCAGGUGAGGCAGGGACCAGCGGCUCAGCAUGUAAAGACACUUACCUCCAAGCUGGAGGGCCAGAGCUCCAUCCCGAGGGAGGUGGGUCGCCAGAAGGUCUCACAACAUGCAUGGAGUGAGGCCGUGUCUGGAGAAGCCUCCACGAGGAAGAAGGGUCAGAAUCACUAGCACCAGACGAGGAGGUCACUGUCUAGUGGGAGAGAAGGCUCCCCUGGGCUCUGCUCACUUCCUGCCUGCCCUGCCCCCAAGGCUUCCAGGCUGCAGCAAAGUUGGCAUCUGCUGCCACCCCAAGUGAAUGUGCAUUUCUGAUCAGCUGGAUACCCGGAUAAACAUGAGUGGUUGUGGUCCAGCCCAAAGCAAACAGACUUUGGCAUCGUAGUUGGGCUGUGCCCCAGAGCCACAGAGAUGCACAUUUUCUAGAAGACUUUGGGAGACACAAAGCUUUCUUCAAGACUUUAAGAUCUGGAUACAACUGAGACAUCUGAAGAAGCUACAUGUACUAUGGGUAUAUAGCUGGGAGCUGGGGACCUUGGGCCUCAUCUAUAGCAUGAGAACACUCACGGGGAAGGAAGGCUGUAGUUAGUAUUUAUGAGGAUACCCAGCUUUUGAGGACAUUGUUAGGGUUGUUAUCUUGGUUUUGUUUUUAAGAUUAAAAAAGUGUACAAGUGUGGUCCCCUCGGCUCCGAUGGAUAUCGGCAAAGCAGAGCAGACAGAGUGCCUGUAGCGGGCGGUCACCGUGCUGCAGGGCAAUCUUCAUGGACUCCUGCAAGGGAGGCUGGCCGCUCAGAGGUGUGACCUCAUCUUACCACAAUCACUGGAGAUAAAUGAGGGAUCUCAGGACGCCUCAAGGAAACACAAAAGCGAGAUGGAGAAAUGAGACGUGACAUUCUACAAAGCAGUAUUUACCAUGUGCCAGCACCUAAAAUUCUCCCAAAGCGGGGCCUGGAGUUCAUCUGAGAGAUGGAGGUGUGACUCCGGGCCCUGCCUUACCUGGAGUUUCUCACUCACUGAACCCAUUUCUAAAAGGAGGGCUGCGGGCAGUGACCAGAGAAGGAUGAGGUUCCUAAGAGGCCCUCAGGGCUUUCGUGUGCUGGACCUGGAGGAAGCAGGUCCAGCCUCUACAAAUCCCACCGGUGAGUUCAUGGAUGCCAGAGUUUGUGGACCUGUCCGUGCUGCAGAAGCUCCCUGACCAACCUCAUCACUGGCACCGAGAACCAUGCAUCCCAUCCAGAGUACAAUUGAAUUUGGAGGAAACAGCUUCACAAUACUGGAGUGGGCCUUAACACCUAUUAUGGGAACUUAAGACACAGGAAGAAAACGUGAAUCCCAGCGUGUGGUGCACACUGGAGACCAACUCAAGGCC